rnacentral:rRNA from 1 species
CCUACGGGAGGCAGCAGUGAGGAAUAUUGGUCAAUGGCCGAGAGGCUGAACCAGCCAAGUCGCGUGAGGGAUGAAGGUCUUCGGAUCGUAAACCACUGUCAGCAGGGAAGAACGGUCACUGUGCUAAUCAGCAGUGAAUUGACGGUACCUGCAAAGGAAGCACCGGCUAACUCCGUGCCAGCAGCCGCGGUAAUACGGAGGGUGCGAGCGUUAAUCGGAAUUACUGGGCGUAAAGCGCUCGCAGGCGGUAUGUCAAGUCAAGGGUGAAAUCCCCGCGCUCAACGUGGGAACUGCUUUUGAAACUGGCAAACAGGAGUGUGUGAGGGGGUAGUGGAAUUCCGGGGGUAGGAGUGAAAUCCGUAGAUAUCUGGGGGAACAUGAGUGGCGAGGGCGACUAUCGGGCACAUAACUGACGCUGAGGGGCGAAAGCGUGGGUAGCAAACAGGAUUAGAUACCCGAGUAGU